rnacentral:misc_RNA from 1 species
GUUUUUCGGUUGCGCAAGCGCAGACGCUUUCGACACUCUACAAUGGCUGGUGUGGAAACGGUCGGGGCGACGCAGAGCGCCGGGUCCCGACGGGACGUGUGCACGGGUGUGAGAAGGUUGGACUGCCCAACGGAGGCGUGCACGUGCGCAGGGCGCCAGCACAGCCAAGCCGGAGGACGUUCGCUUCGCUAAUGAUCCUUCCGCAGGUUCACCUACGGAAA